rnacentral:lncRNA from 1 species
AGCAGUGCGGACUGAGGCGCGGCACGGGGAGGAGGCGUGGAAGGGGAUCCCGUUAACAGGUUUAAAAGGGAGUUUCAUUCAUAUAAAUGAUCAAGAUUGUGACUGGCAUAUACAGUGGAAAAGGAAGAAGGGCAAGUGUUUUACUAUACGAUCACAUAUGGGUCAUACGCCCCUUUUACUACCUAUAUGCCCAUCCUGCCACCUCUAAGACAUAAAGUUCCAUAGCCAGAGAUACAGGACUGGUGAAAUGAAGAUGGCUUAUGAUGAAACCUGCUGCCUUCUUAAAAUUGCAACCACUGCACCUUUUCUGGAAGCCAGAUCAAGUUUCAAACUUGCAGCACCAAUGAGGCAUUUGAAGAUGAUUCGCUUAGCCUCAGUGAAAGUCUAGAGAGCCUAGCAUCACAGUCCCAAUUCAGCACCCCAAUCUCUGACUUACAAUUACCUCUGGAUCUCAAGGAAGAUUUAUGUAUAUAUGUUUCCUUUUACCUAUUUCUAUGUCUUAUAGGUUGAAUGUAUGUAUGCAUAUGGAUUUGAGGAUUACAGAGUAUUUUAAAAGUCUAA